rnacentral:misc_RNA from 2 species
AAUUCUCAACCAUGUCUUGAUCGAUUUCGAGGCAUGGCUUGGAGUUGGGGGCUGCUGGCGGCGAAACGCUGUCGGCUCUCCUGAAAUGCAUUAGCAAAGGAUGGCGAGUCUUUGACGUGCACGGCCUUCGACGUGAUAAUGAUCGUCGCGGCUGGAGCGUUCGGGGACAUGCAUGAAUCGUCCAUUGCUUCCAACACACCCCUAGGCUAGCCCUUCAGGUGUCGCUUAGCUACUAGUCGGCCGUGAGGCUGACGAACGUUGGGCGAGCCACGCUUGGCAGGGCUUGUCUGUUCCGAA